rnacentral:lncRNA from 1 species
GAUCGGAUGGAGCGGUGGUUGCUCAAAUGUUUUAGCUUGGCAUGAAGGAUGUGUUCAGCCGCAUAGCCGAUGACGUAGCAGGUCAAUGAUUAGCCAAUUGCACUUUCGGGUUAACACGAAGGUCAUGUUAGAGUAGAAUUGUCCUAAAGGGGACCCCAAAUUCUGGUUCAGACUUUUACUGGAAGGCGUAAUUGGCCGAGGGCCAAAGAGCGUUAGUCGAGAUUGAUAGGUCAAGUAUGCCGGGGUUGUUCGAUUUUCCGCUUUAGGAUUAAGUUACGAUGAAUGUUUCGUAUAAUUUUAUCUAUAGUCGUAUGAAAAUUGUUUCGUUUUUGUCUGAGGAAUAUGAAGCCUAAGAGGUUUGAUACAGAGUAUGUGCGGAGUCA